rnacentral:lncRNA from 1 species
GCGUUCCAGGUACAUACGCCUUUCCAUUGUUUCGGACACGAUGAUUAAAUCAGAGAGCGAUGGUGAAUAGACCACAGAGCACUUAGAUCAACUGCGUGACGAAAAAGGAGACCUGUGUGUUGCUUCUCAAACUUUGCUGCCCUGUGGAAUCACCUGGAGAGUUCAAAACAUAUAUAUUGAUUCUUGGGUCCCACCUCUAGAGACUCUGAUUUAAUUGGAACAGGACAGGAUCUGGUCUGGGCAUUGAGGUACUGACAGCACAUGGCACACU